GGAUCAACAAGGACACCCAAAAUGCAUUCCUUAGAAAGCUGAACAAAAUAAGAGUGAAAUCUCUACCAUCCCUUCUCAUCUUACUGGGGUCC